GGGGGCGACCUGGCUUCGACGCGGGUUGCAAAACCUAAGGUGCAUGUCGAGUUUUCAGUAUCUCGUAAAUCCACUGAAAAAACAUAAACGCAGAAAAUAAAACUUUUGCACUAGCAGCCUAAACGCAGCUAGCCUUUUUCAAAGUAGGCUUAUAUGCUUUGAAUUAAGGUCAUAAUGAUAAGCUCGUGCCUUAUAAUCUUGUUAGUAAGUCAUUAAAUCUAAACAAGAUAGUUAUUAUGUAGGUUGUUUAUCACCAGCAUAAUAAUAAAAUUAAAGAUAGACUAAACAUGUAGUACUAAAGGCUGAGUGCUCUCGGACGCGGGUUCGAUUCCCGCCGCCUCCACCA
rnacentral:tmRNA from 1 species